GACGAACGCUGGCGGCGUGCUUAACACAUGCCAGUCGAACGAAGAGCGACGGAAGCUUGCUUCUAUCAAUCUUAGUGGCGAACGGGUGAGUAACGCGUAAUCAACCUGCCCUUCAGAGGGGGACAACAGUUGGAAACGACUGCUAAUACCGCAUACGAUCUAACCUCGGCAUCGAGGAUAGAUGAAAGGUGGCCUCUACAUGUAAGCUAUCACUGAAGGAGGGGAUUGCGUCUGAUUAGCUAGUUGGAGGGGUAAUGGCCCACCAAGGCGAUGAUCAGUAGCCGGUCUGAGAGGAUGAACGGCCACAUUGGGACUGAGACACGGCCCAGACUCCUACGGGAGGCAGCAGUGGGGAAUCUUCCGCAAUGGACGAAAGUCUGACGGAGCAACGCCGCGUGAGUGAUGACGGCCUUCGGGUUGUAAAGCUCUGUUAAUCGGGACGAAAGGCCUUCUUGCGAAUAGUGAGAAGGAUUGACGGUACCGGAAUAGAAAGCCACGGCUAACUACGUG
rnacentral:rRNA from 1 species